GACGUAGGGCGCGAGCGUUGUCCGGAUUUAUUGGGCGUAAAGAGCUCGUAGGCGGCUUGUCGCGUCGGCUGUGAAAACCCGCGGCUCAACUGUGGGCGGGCAGCUGAUACGGGCAGGCUGGAGUUCGGUAGGGGAGAUCGGAAUUCCUGGUGUAGCGGUGAAAUGCGCAGAUAUCAGGAGGAACACCGGUGGCGAAGGCGGAUCUCUGGGCCUUACCUGACGCUCAGGCGCGAAAGCUAGGGGAGCGAACUGG
rnacentral:rRNA from 1 species